ACGCUCGACACCUACGGGGGCAGCAGUGGGGAAUAUUGCACAAUGGGGGAAACCCUGAUGUAGCGAUGCCGCGUGAAGGAAGAAGUAUCUCGGUAUGUAAACUUCUAUCAGCAGGGAAGAAAAUGACGGUACCUGACUAAGAAGCCCCGGCUAACUACGUGCAGCAGCCGCGGUAAUCUGAGCGGGCUGGCAAGGC
rnacentral:rRNA from 1 species